GCAAGGUUAAAACUCAAAUGAAUUGACGGGGGCCCGCACAAGCGGUGGAGCAUGUGGUUUAAUUCGAUGCAACGCGAAGAACCUUACCUGGUCUUGACAUCCACAGAACUUUCCAGAGAUGGAUUGGUGCCUUCGGGAACUGUGAGACAGGUGCUGCAUGGCUGUCGUCAGCUCGUGUUGUGAAAUGUUGGGUUAAGUCCCGCAACGAGCGCAACCCUUAUCCUUUGUUGCCAGCGGUUCGGCCGGGAACUCAAAGGAGACUGCCAGUGAUAAACUGGAGGAAGGUGGGGAUGACGUCAAGUCAUCAUGGCCCUUACGACCAGGGCUACACACGUGCUACAAUGGCAUAUA
rnacentral:rRNA from 1 species